UGCCUCUUCUGCUGCCACUUCCUCCCGUGUCUUCCACACGCCGCGUGUCCUCCAGGCGGGAGAGCAGAACCCAGAACCUUCGGGAGGGAACCAGGGGCCAAUGCAGGACCCCAGAGAGUCGCCUGCAGGCAGAACCGGGUCAGAUGUGCCGAGAGGCUCGGAGACGGGGCCAGACCCCGAUUUCUCUUCUGCGAUCACUGCUGAGCCCGUGGCUCAGCCGCCACUGGGUCCGCAGCGACCUGGGCAGCGAGCGGUGCCCCAGCAGAUAAAAAAGAACUUUCCUUGGGCCCCCUCAUCGGCCAGGUUGGGGGCUAUGACCGGGACGCCUGCCUUUAAGUCCUGGCCGAGCCCAGCUUCGGACGCAGAGAGGAGAGGCGACUGCCAGAGGGAGGCGCUGGGAGGAUGCCCGGGGGCUGACCCUCAUCGGAACCCGGACCAGAGCCUGGGUCUGCGGGGUCAGACACCGACCCGGUUCUGGUCCAGACGUAGGAGGGGCACGGCCUCACCCGACAGGCUACUCGGACCCGCUGGAGAGCCGGACACUCCUCACCCGGGACCGUGCCCCAGCCCUCUUCAGGGCAUCGCCACUCCCCACACGCCGUGCAAACACGUGCUGUGGAAGAUGGUCCACGUCCACGUAGACAGAGGAGUGUGGUUCCUCCCCUCCCCCGCUCUUCGCACUCUCCUGUGAUCAAUUAAUUUCCCACCAGUUCCUGCUCUUGUAGACAGCGCUGCACUCCUCUGUGAAGACCGAGAGGGGUGGAUGGGUAACUUCGGCAAAUUGUUCGACAUUCCACGUGGUAGCCUCAUCGUCUAGCGAUGACUAGCGCCAUCUCCCUUGCAGAGCUGGUGGGAGGAUGAAGUGAGUUAGAAUUUGUAAAGCUCUUGGGCCAGUCAAGACCAGUGUCCGGAAAGUCGUAAGCACCCCACCACCACGGUUAAAUCCAGACACGCACGUACACUUUCCGGAUGCCGUGGGGCCGGGUUUGCAGUGCAUAGUGCUAUGUCUUGGAGCUCUGCAUAUGUGAGCACACACAUGUGCCAUCAUCUGAUAGCAGUGGCAGGUGUUGUACGGAUGGACUAUAAAUUAUUU